UACAGAGGGGGCAAGCGUUAUUCGGAAUUAUUGGGCGUAAAGGGCGCGUAGGCGGCUUUGCAAGUGGCGGGUGAAAUCCCUCGGCUUAACCGAGGAACUGCCUGUCAAACUGCAUGGCUUGAGACCAGGAGAGGUGAGUGGAAUUCCCCAGUGUAGCGGUGAAAAUGCGUAGAUAUCUGGAGGAACACCGGUGGCGAAGGCGGCAUCCUGGACCGACACUGACGCUGAGGAGCGAAAGCCAGGGGGAGCAAACGGG
rnacentral:rRNA from 1 species